UCCCCCAUGGCUGGAAGAACAUCCCUCUCUCUCCCUCCCUUUGAAAAUCAAAACCCUUAACUCUCUGAAUCUCCCUCCCAUCUGUUUCUUCUUAGUCUGUUGAACAAAUCUGUAAUUGUUCUCUGUGGUUGUCGUCACCUAGCUCGCCGACGAAGGUCACCAUUUGCGACCCAUCUUGAGUCCCUUGGUUGUCGUCGUCACUGAGCUCUGCCUCCACUCUCAUAUCUCUAUUACAUAUCUGAAGCACCAUCUCCACUCGUGCCAUCCAGGUAAUUGAACUCGUCGAGAUCGCCAUCUCCCUCUCGCUGUCUAGGUCACCGAGCCCGCGCCGUCCAUCUCAUCGAGCUCGCCGAGCUCGCCAUGUCCCUAGUGGAUGAGAAGCGUGAGAAGAUGCUUCAAAUCUUUUACGACUCUCAAGAUUUCUUCCUUUGAUGUCAGCUAAAGGAGCUUGAGAAGUCAGGCCCAAAGAAAGCUUAGGAAUGUGUAUAGCAGACUUGAAUCUGAUCUCCAAAGCAGUAAGAAGCGUCAUGCAGAACUUGUUGAACAGUGUAAUGCCCUGAAGAAGGGAUAAACUGUUGAUUUUACGUUAGAGAGCAGAAGCACUUAAUAAUCACUUGGCUGCUGUCCAGCGAGACCAUGAAGUCAGAUCUCAAAUAGAAGAAGAAAAAUAAGAAUUGAUGGAGCUUAUGAAGAUGCUAAAAGAAAGAAAAAAUCUCUACAAGAAGAAAAACUUCGACAAGACAAGAACGAGCCAAAGCAGAGGCUGAGGUCUUUUUGUUUGGCCUUUUUAUAUCAUUAUUGUUUUGUUGGUAAGUUUCUAGAUAUGGUGUGCAUGCAAUGGCCUCAUUGUGGUAUUGCUUUCAAUAUUCUUUGUUGAUGUGUCGGAAAGGUUUUUUUUGCAUUUCAAGUAAAAGCUGUUCCAGUGAACUUUGAGUAACUUGGUUAAUAACCAGGGUUCCACCCCCAACUUGCUCAUUGUAUAUGCUUUUCAUUGCAUUUGUCUUACAUGCUCGACUACUAACCUAUGCUAUCUCAGUUAAUCAUGGUUAACCAUUUCUACUCAUUUGCGAUGCAAAAUUUUUCUUUGGUUGAAUUCGUGUUGAAUUCCUCUUUAGGCAUGUAUCCGAUAUCCCAUAACUGGUUCCCACUUCCCAGGCAGGUAUUUCUCCUAUAAAUGAGAAAUAAAAGAACUUUCUUGCACCUCUUUCUUUUCAUGGGCUUUUCAGUUGUUUCUUUCUAGAAGUUUUACACCAUAUGAUACAUGAACUGGGCAAUUUAAUGGCAGGUAAUAUACUCAAGGCAGCACAAAGUGCUCUGAAUCUAGAGCAGGGGAGGCUACAAAAGCUUAAACAGUUUGAUGACGAAAACCAGACACUGAGAUUACGCUCCAUUGCGGUCUGCUAGCACCCAAACAUUAAGCCUUGAAGGCUCCAUUGCGGUCUCCUUUUCUUUUUGUUAGGAUUUGAGGAAGUAUGAGAGGCAAAUUUCUAAGUUGGUUUAGCAGAUUACAGGUCUUUCUGACACCACCAACUUGGAAAAUGUGCAAGAAGGCAGAGCUAAGUCAACCCAAGAAUAAAUUGAUGAAGUUAAGAUCAAAUUAGUAGAAUUUGUGAGCUUCAUUAUUUCUAAUUGUAGGUAGGAGGUAUGCAUGCAAUGGAAUAAAGAUUGGCUGACCAUGUUAUAACUAUUGAGUCUUCAAGUUUUAUGAAAGAAAUCAUU